rnacentral:misc_RNA from 1 species
GAUGAAGAACGUAGCGAAAUGCGAUAAGUAAUGUGAAUUGCAGAAUUCAGUGGAUCAUCGAAUCUUUGAACGCACAUUGCGCCCGUCAGUAUUCUGGCGGGCAUGCCUGUUCGAGCGUCAUUACGCCCCUCAAGUCCCCUGUGGACUUGGUGUUGGGGAUCGGCGAGGCUGGUUUUCCAGCACAACCGUCCCUUAAAUUAAUUGGCGGUCUCGCCGUGGCCCUCCUCUGCGCAGUAGUAAAACACUCGCAACAGGAGCCCGGCGCGGUCCACUGCCGUAAAACCCCCCAACUUUUUAUAGUUGACCUCGAAUCAGGUAGGACUACCCGCUGAACUUAAGCAUAUCAAUAAGCGGAGGA